AGCAUAUCAAUAAGCGGAGGAAAAGAAACCAACAGGGAUUGCCUCAGUAACGGCGAGUGAAGCGGCAACAGCUCAAAUUUGAAAUCUGGCCUCUUGGGGUCCGAGUUGUAAUUUGUAGAGGAUGUUUCGGGUACCGCUCCGGUCUAAAUUUCUUGGAACAGAAUGUCAAAGAGGGUGAGAAUCCCGUCUUGGACCGGCGGUAGGGCCUAUGUGAAACUCCUUCGACGAGUCGAGUUGUUUGGGAAUGCAGCUCAAAAUGGGUGGUAAAUUUCAUCUAAAGCUAAAUAUUGGCCAGAGACCGAUAGCGCACAAGUAGAGUGAUCGAAAGAUGAAAAGCACUUUGAAAAGAGAGUUAAACAGUAUGUGAAAUUGUUGAAAGGGAAGCGCUGGCAACCAGACUUGCGCGCGGCGGUUCCCCCUCCCUUUUGGUUGGGUUAUUCCGCCGUGUCCAGGCCAACAUCGGUUCUGGGGGUCGGUUAAAGGCCUUGGGAAUGUAUCUACCCUCCGGGCGUAGACUUAUAGCCCAGGGCGUCAUGCGACCACCCGGGACCGAGGAACGCGCUUCGGCUCGGAUGUUGGCGUAAUGGUUGUCAGCGACCCGUCUUGAAACACGGACCAAGGAGUCUAACAUCUAUGCGAGUGUUUGGGUGUCAAACCCGUAACGCGUAAUGAAAGUGAACGGAGGUAGGAAGCUUCGGCUGCACUAUCGACCGAUCCUGAAGUUUACGGAAGGAUUUGAGUAAGAGCAUAGCUGUUGGGACCCGAAAGAUGGUGAACUAUGCCUGAAUAGGGUGAAGCCAGAGGAAACUCUGGUGGAGGCUCGCAGCGGUUCUGACGUGCAAAUCGAUCGUCAAAUUUGGGUAUAGGGGCGAAAGACUAAUCGAACCAUCUGGUAGCUGGUUCCUGCCGAAGU
rnacentral:rRNA from 1 species